UAAUCUGCGAAAAGAUUAUUAGUAGCGGUGAAAAAUGGAGUACGUUUAGAAGAAUUACUAUGACGGAAUUGUCACUGUUAAAGCGUUGUAGGAUCAUGCUGCUGUAUGAUGAUGACCUGAGCCAAACCAGGUAUUAAUUGAAUAAUUGGGACGACGACGUUUUGGGCUGAUUUGGUAUUAAUUGCAAAGAAAAAACGACGUCGUUUCGGUUGCUGCUAAAAGUAGUCUAUAAAGUGCUCCACCAGGAUUGGUU
rnacentral:lncRNA from 1 species